AAAUUGAAGAGUUUGAUCAUGGCUCAGAUUGAACGCUGGCGGCAGGCCUAACACAUGCAAGUCGAGCGGUAGCACAGAGAGCUUGCUCUCGGGUGACGAGCGGCGGACGGGUGAGUAAUGUCUGGGAAACUGCCUGAUGGAGGGGGAUAACUACUGGAAACGGUAGCUAAUACCGCAUAAUGUCGCAAGACCAAAGUGGGGGACCUUCGGGCCUCAUGCCAUCAGAUGUGCCCAGAUGGGAUUAGCUAGUAGGUGGGGUAACGGCUCACCUAGGCGACGAUCCCUAGCUGGUCUGAGAGGAUGACCAGCCACACUGGAACUGAGACACGGUCCAGACUCCUACGGGAGGCAGCAGUGGGGAAUAUUGCACAAUGGGCGCAAGCCUGAUGCAGCCAUGCCGCGUGUGUGAAGAAGGCCUUCGGGUUGUAAAGCACUUUCAGCGGGGAGGAAGGCGGUGAGGUUAAUAACCUCAUCGAUUGACGUUACCCGCAGAAGAAGCACCGGCUAACUCCGUGCCAGCAGCCGCGGUAAUACGGAGGGUGCAAGCGUUAAUCGGAAUUACUGGGCGUAAAGCGCACGCAGGCGGUCUGUCAAGUCGGAUGUGAAAUCCCCGGGCUCAACCUGGGAACUGCAUUCGAAACUGGCAGGCUAGAGUCUUGUAGAGGGGGUAGAAUUCCAGGUGUAGCGGUGAAAUGCGUAGAGAUCUGGAGGAAUACCGGUGGCGAAGGCGGCCCCCUGGACAAAGACUGACGCUCAGGUGCGAAAGCGUGGGGAGCAAACAGGAUUAGAUACCCUGGUAGUCCACGCCGUAAACGAUGUCGAUUUGGAGGUUGUGCCCUUGAGGCGUGGCUUCCGGAGCUAACGCGUUAAAUCGACCGCCUGGGGAGUACGGCCGCAAGGUUAAAACUCAAAUGAAUUGACGGGGGCCCGCACAAGCGGUGGAGCAUGUGGUUUAAUUCGAUGCAACGCGAAGAACCUUACCUGGUCUUGACAUCCACAGAACUUUCCAGAGAUGGAUUGGUGCCUUCGGGAACUGUGAGACAGGUGCUGCAUGGCUGUCGUCAGCUCGUGUUGUGAAAUGUUGGGUUAAGUCCCGCAACGAGCGCAACCCUUAUCCUUUGUUGCCAGCGGUUAGGCCGGGAACUCAAAGGAGACUGCCAGUGAUAAACUGGAGGAAGGUGGGGAUGACGUCAAGUCAUCAUGGCCCUUACGACCAGGGCUACACACGUGCUACAAUGGCAUAUACAAAGAGAAGCGACCUCGCGAGAGCAAGCGGACCUCAUAAAGUAUGUCGUAGUCCGGAUUGGAGUCUGCAACUCGACUCCAUGAAGUCGGAAUCGCUAGUAAUCGUAGAUCAGAAUGCUACGGUGAAUACGUUCCCGGGCCUUGUACACACCGCCCGUCACACCAUGGGAGUGGGUUGCAAAAGAAGUAGGUAGCUUAACCUUCGGGAGGGCGCUUACCACUUUGUGAUUCAUGACUGGGGUGAAGUCGUAACAAGGUAACCGUAGGGGAACCUGCGGUUGGAUCACCUCCUUA
rnacentral:rRNA from 1 species